rnacentral:rRNA from 1 species
AUUGAACGCUGGCGGCAGGCCUAACACAUGCAAGUCGAACGGUAACAGGAAGAAGCUUGCUUCUUUGCUGACGAGUGGCGGACGGGUGAGUAAUGUCUGGGAAACUGCCUGAUGGAGGGGGAUAACUACUGGAAACGGUAGCUACUACCUCAUAACGUCGCAAGACCAAAAAGGGGGACCUUCUGGCCUCUUGCCAUCGGAUGUGCCCAGAUGGGGUUAGCUAGUAGGUGGGGUAACGGCUCACCUAGGCGACGAUCCCUAGCUGGUGUGAGAGGAUGACCAGCCACACUGGAACGGAGACACGGCCAAGACUCCUACGGGAGGCAGCAGUGGGGAAUAUUGCACAAUGGGCGGAAGCCUGAUGCAGCCAGGCCGCGUGUAUGAAGAAGGCCUUCGGGUUGUAAAGUACUUUCAGCGGGGAGGAAGGGAGUAAAGUUAAUACCUUUGCUCAUUGACGUUACCCGCAGAAGAAGCACCGGCUAACUCCGUG